rnacentral:misc_RNA from 1 species
GAUGAAGAACGUAGCGAAAUGCGAUAAGUAGUGUGAAUUGCAGAAUUCAGUGAAUCAUCGAAUCUUUGAACGCACAUUGCGCCCCUUGGUAUUCCAUGGGGCAUGCCUGUUCGAGCGUCAUUUAUACCUUCAAGCUUUGCUUGGUGUUGGGUGUUUGUCUCGCCUUUGCGUGUAGACUCGCCUUAAAAUAAUUGGCAGCCGGCGUAUUGAUUUCGGAGCGCAGUACAUCUCGCGCUUUGCACUCAUAACGACAGCGUCCAAAAGUACAUUUUACACUCUUGACCUCGGAUCAGGUAGGGAUACCCGCUGAACUUAAGCAUAUCAAUAAGCGGAGGA